ensembl:lncRNA
GCCGGCUUCAGCUACCUGGAGGGCUCAGUGGAAGCCGACACCUCCCCAUGAUGCGGGGUAAAUGAGGUGCAGACGCCCCUCCCUCCCUGUGCCCCACACCUAGGGGGCAUCCUCCUCAGACCUUGGGCUGGGGCCGGGGUCCCUAGGAAACUGGCCUCCCUUUUAACACUAACCAGCUCGUGUGUACACAAGGGGUUGCCACCUGGGGGGGCCACAGGGUUCAACCCAAGGAUGUUUCCUCUGUCCUGUGGUAGUUUCAAAUUUUGGACAUUCCACUCGCAAAUCUGGAUUUCCUUCUCCUCAAGAGUCAGAAGCUCUGGCACUCCAGGCCCUUACCCUCUUGGCAGCAACUGGACGACCCGAUGUGUGGCGUCCCCUUAGGGCAGGCCUGGGCGCUCUGUUCCCACAGUCCCCGCAAACUCUUCACUGUGCCCCAUCUGGCCUGCCGGACCCUGUAGGCUGCCCGUUUGAGGACCCUGCUGGAGCAUCCAGGGUACAGAGGGUGGGUGACCUGACCAGUCCCCGGCUAGCCCAGGCAUUCUCACUCCUGUGCGGCUGCUCCCUCCACUGCCCCUGCAGCCUCUCACCAAGGAGGGACUUUGGGGUCCGGGUGAUGGAGGUGAGGUUAGCAAUGGCCUCUGGAAGGCUGGGGACCUGGCCACUGCCAAGAGCAGGAACAGCCAGAUGGUCCGUUCUGUGGUUGGGGGGCAUUAAGUCAAACUCACAUCCCCAGGCCCAGGUCCAGCGUCCAGGGCAGAGCUCUGGGAGCUUCUGAGGCUUUGCCACCACCAUGGUGGGGUGGCUUCCCCACCCUGUGGGUGCCCCCCAGGGAUCAGGCCACGCAGAGGGCUGGAGGCUUUGUCUCAGGCAAAGGGAGGGAGGUGUGCAGAGAAACCAGCUGGGGACGCGAGGGCUGGGCCUGGGCCUGUGGACAGAGGCAAGGGAAGACACCAGUGUCCCCAUCCCUGUGCUCCCCAGGGACAAGGCCCCACAGGGCUGGGCUCCUUCUCCUCCCCAGGGCUGACCACAGCUGCCAUGUUGUGUCCCCCAGCUCCUGUCAUGGCGGAUUGACACCGGCUGCUCUGGCACAGCUGCCACAGGCAGCACAGACAGGGUAGUGGUGGCCAGAGGUCCUGCUCAGGAUGGUCACCGGGGAUGGCCACAGGAAAGCCGCUCAGAGCCCUGAUGGCCGCCGCCCAGACCCAGCAGCCCGGGGGAGGGAACGUGUCGGGAAAGACUCCCUCCCGAACUUCCCGCGUCUUUGUUCCGAGGAGGCUGGAGGGCCCGGGCUCCGCCGUGCGCGCUGAUGGCGGCCCCAGCGGCGGGGCGCCCCCCGCGAUUGCCCCCCGGGGCGCCCCCUCCCGGCGCGAGCCCGGGACCCCAGACCCGGACCCAGACCCCUGCGCUCGGACCUGGACCCUGGACCCCCGCGGCCGCGGCGGGCGCCGAGGGCAAGGGCGGGAGAGCGGGCGCCGCUUACCAGGUCGUCCCGGAGCGCCCUCGCGGUCCGGCAGGCCGCAGCCGGAGUCAAGUUCACGUCCGGACGGCGGACUGUCCGAGGUCCCAGGCGCCGCCGGGCAGAGCGAGGCCGCGAGCGGCCGCGGCCCCGGGUCACCUCCGCGGCCGGCCCCGCGGCGCCGCUGUCACCCCAGCCCCGCGACCCCAACUUUCCGCACAAUCGCGAGCUGGAAGUUUCCGGGCUUCGCGGGCGCUGGGCUGGGUUUCAGCAGCGACGUCUGAGCUUGGCAACAAAGAGGGAAAGCAGGCCGGGAGAGGGGAGGAAAGAAAGAAAUACGGUGGAGAAAGGGCCGGCUACUUAGAAAUCUCCAGAACUUGAAAUUCCACCCAGAAGUUUUUUCGGUUGUUUUUUCUUAAGGGAUAAACCAGCACCCCCAGUCCUCUCUAGCCCUGCUCUGCUCCCAUCGCCCAGGCACCCUCCUCCCUCGGCACCUGCCUGGUUCAUAACCCACUCCAAAGCGACUUGGGCAAAUUUUUUAGGGGGGAGAAAAGUGGGUACAAGACGCUUGCUGAAAGGUAGUUGACACUCAGACUGUAUCCCCACACAUCCCUUGUCUUGUCCCCUCAGCACAGGGGCUUGAGCCAGCCGCCAGGAGCAGCUACUCUGUGUUCCUGUCCUGGGAGUGGAGGGACAGCUGGGACCCCUGGUGUCCAGGAGAGGAUGUGGGCUCCAUACUGGUCCUGGCCCAGGCCCACCUGCUCCCGCCCACACCUGUGGUGCAUGUAGGACCCUGUUCUCGCCCUUCAGGCAGAUGUUCCGCGUGUGAGGCAGGAGGACGCCUGGCCUUACCCUGAGCUGGAAGCUCGGGCCUCCUCUUCUUGGGAGCUCCUUGGCUGCUGGCGCUGUUUUUUGCCUUCUCGGCUCUGCCUGGCAGGGUCCUUGGGGACACGUCUGAGCUGGGGGAGGCUACCAAGUGGCCCCAGGCCUGGGAACCUGUGCAGUGGCCAAGCCCAGGCCCUUUGAGGGCCCUGUGAGCACUGGAACAGGAGCUGAGGGGCACAGAUGUCGAGCUGCCGAUGGGCCUUGAGAUGCUCCUGCACUGCUCUGUUCGUCUAUUCAUCUGUCCAUCCUUCCCUGCCAGACAUGCUUACGGAGGAGACGCUUGAUCACAGGCCGGCUGUCCCAGAGCACUGUUUCAGGCUGGGGAGCGUGGGGUUAUCUGUUUGUUUCUUAAAAUUGAGUGAGGGGGCCGUGGACACCAGGGUGAGGGUUGGGGUGGGGGCAGCAUGUUGUCUCUUGUUCCACAAAAGUGGGCGGUGUUCCGAGCUCCAGAGAGCACUAGCGAUUCUCAAAUGUGAUCCUUUCUGGAGUCGGUCCUGGACCUCCAUACGUGGUUCACGGAAGAGGGUGCAGCCACGGGGGCACUUGAUGGUGCUGCCCAUCCAUCUGGAGACUUCCGGAACUUUUCAUGGGGCUGAGGACAUGGAGGUAGUGGAGGUGGACAGGUGGUGCCUGGGGCUGGCUGGGGCGGGGGGGACAUGGAGCCAGUUUUCAGAGCCGCAAAUACUCAUCAGCUUACAUACACAGGCUGCCAGUUUGUCCCCAGUGCCUGCAUUUGGCCUCAUUUGGGGGUAAAAUCCACCCACCAGUGAACCCCAGGAUCCUUUCCCAGAGGGAGUGGAAUGAGGUUUCUUAUUGUGUUUUUACAGGAGCAAGCAUGGGCGUCGGCUCUUCUCAUUUCUCCCCAGGAUGUAGGCAGGCCAGCUGUGCACACUCCAGCAGAGCGGUUGAAGUUCCAUCGAGUCUUGAGGCUCAGUGCCAGGGUGUGACAUUUCACAACAAUAUGCAGUAGAUACCCCUCACCUGAAGUGAAAGCUCCUAGCACAGAGGCUUGGCCCUCUCCUGGGGAGGGAAGCCUGCCUGGCUCGCCCUCUCCCAUCCUCAGCUGCCGCCACUUGGUGUUUUCAGGACCGGAAAACGCGUUGAGAACCUCACGUCUUCCUGGAGCUUGCACCCAUUUGCUUUCUGACAUCUGGUCACUGGUGCUGUUCGUCCCAAAAGGGGAUGUCGCUCACCCUAGCUCCAUCAAAAACCGUCAAGAUCUUGUCCCAGCAGGCUUCAUGGGCGUGUGACCUGUGCUGCAGCCCCGUGCUCACUGCUCUGCUGUCCCCAUCUUAGAAUUCUUCAUCUUUUGAACAAGCGGCCCUGCAUUUCCAUUUUGCCCUGGGCCCUGAAAAUUAUGUAGCUGAUCCCUACUUUGGCCAUUGGUUAACAGGAUCAUAAAGUAGGAAAAAAAAAAAAGAUUUUUUUUUUUUUACUAAAUUCUGUUUACAGGAAUAAUUUCAGAUUCUACCUAAACAAGAUAAAAUAUUUUAAUUGAAGAUCAUUGUAAUUAGAGAAAACGUUCACCUGAAAGAGGCAGGAAGUUGUUAUGGAAAUAGUACAGCUCUGAGAGUCGGAAUCAUUCACGCUCAGCCCCCAGCUCCGCCGUGUGGGCGCCGGCUGCCGUCUCAGGGCCUCGGCUCCCACGUGCAGGGGGUGACAGCUCCCACUGCAGGGUGUUCUGAGCAGCCGGGACGGUGGGAGAGCUUGGCAGAAGAUCAGGCACAUACCAGCUACUCAGUAACAAGUACCCUUGAUGGUCAUGGUAAUCAUUUGAGCCUCAGUGCAGUCUGACUACUUUUAAUAUAAGAGUAUUUAACUCCUUUUAUUGUAAAAGUAAUACACAUUGUUACAGAAGGUUUGGAGAAUAUAGAAAAACAAAGAGAGAGAGAGAGACAGAGACAGAGACAGAGACAGAGAAAGAGAGAAAGAAAAAGCAAGCAAUUCUUUACCUCUUCGUCUUUUACUCCAAAGCCUUCCACCAGUGACAUUACAAUUUCUUUCUUUAUAGUUAUAUAAAUAGACAUGCAAAUACAUUUCAUUCUAAAAGCUUUCUUUUCUUUUACCCCAGGGUCUUACUUUUUAACAGAAACUGCAGCGAGGCCGGCAGGAGGACGGGUGCACGGCUGCGGCCCCAACAGUGGGCUCCUGUGUGCCGACUGCAUUCAGCGCAGCUCCACACGCGGGGGUAAAUCCACGGGCUCUGCGGUUGCCUGGCCACAGGGACCAUAAAUUGUGACACUUGCGGUCAUGGAAGUGCCGAGUGAUAAAAACUCGACGUCACAAAGUGUCCUUAACCUGCUGCUGCCUCAUCUUUCUCAUUUGUGACUUGGUUAAAGAAAAUUUUUUUGUAACAGUUUCAGGCUCUUCUUUUUCGUUUCCUCAGUCUGCUGCAGAACCCCUUCAGUCAGGGAGGGAAAAGCAACCAAGCCAAUCUGGUCUCCUUGUUGGCACCUCUGUGAGGCCAGCUGGCUAGAGGGAGGGGGCCCGAUGGCGGAGGGAGAGGGCGAUGCUGGGGUCCCAGCAGCCCCCAAAGCAGGCGGGGCCCUCUCCUCGAAGAAGCUCACCUUUAACCUCCAAGCCCAGCCGACAGGCCCCCUGAUUGUGCAGUAGAUUACAAAUCGCACAAGAACCCAGAGCAGACAACAGACACAGGAGAAACACAGCCCUUGCCCCCAAAUCUGCGCUCCAUGAACCAGCUAUUUGGGGCCCAGAAGCUCCCAGGAACUGAAGUCUGAAGGUGGUGAGAAUCCAGGCAUGAGGCCAAGUCUGAGCUCCACUGGCUACUGGCCCGGGGACUUUGGGCAAGUCAUUUCUCUCUGAGCCUCAGUUUCCCCAGUUUGGAGAGAGUGGUGGCGGUAAACAAUAGCCCCAGCCUCACAAGGCCAAGCCGGGCAGGAGAUGCGCUAGAGUGCUCUGGCUCUGGCACAGGGUCUGCCCCCCCCGCCCUCCCCCCAGUCCCUGCAACUCACCAAGGAGGGGCUCCUCCGGUGGGGAAAGUGGCACAGGGGCAGAGAGACCAGAACCCCGCUCCCCACCCUUUUCCCGGGCAGCAUGGGAGACUGGUACCUUUGGGAGAGGUGCUCAGAGCUACAGGGUUGCGGCACUCCAAACGGGAGGGUCUGGCUUCACGGCUACCCCAGCUGGUUCAGGGACAGGCCUCCUCCCUUCAUCGGCAGAGCCCAGUGGGCACGGCAGCCCUCGAGAAUAACCCAGCCCAGAAACGGCCAAAGAGCCAGGGAAGGGGCCCCGCCUCUCACUCUGCUACCAGCUUCCAGGCGGUUCCCUUUCGCUGGACCGGGGCAUCCUCGCAGCCCAGUCCUGGACCCAGCUCUGCGUCCCUGACCUGCCACAGCUGGAAAAAAGAAAAAGAGAUAUUUGUUUUUAUUUAAUUUGUUUAUAAAAAGAAAAGUGUUUGUUACAGAAAAUUUGGAAAUACAGAAAAGCACAAAAAAGAAAACAAAAAUUACCCGUGAGAUAACUACCAGGUAUGUUUUCUUGAAGUCCUUCUGGUAUCUUUCCCAAACCAUAUACUAUAUGUACUAGACAUGUCUGUAUGAUCAUACUAUAGGUUAUUUCAGAUCCUUUUCGCUUAAUAUGUUGUGAGUAUUUUGUGUCAUUAAGUAUUAUUCUCUAUGGGAUUUGAAAAAUAAAAUCUAAAUAUCAACUAAUUUUUUAAAUCAACUUCACUGAGGUGUAAUUUCCAUGAAGAUCUCUUUCACUUGUGCUGUUCGACGAGUUUUGACACAUGCAUACCCCCAUGUAACCAGCACCACAAUCAAGAAAAAAAAUACGAUCACCACAAAAUGUCCCCUAGUCCCCCUUGCAGGCGGGCCCUACCUCCCAGGUCCCAGGCAGACACCCAUCUGAAUCCUACCACUGUAGAUUAGUUUUACCUUUAUUUAAUUUAACAUAAGCGGGAUCAGAGAGUAGGAUCUCUUGCUCAGCAUAACUGACACUCAUGGACGUCGCUGAGUCUCUCACCAGCCCACGCCUUAUUGUUUUACGGUAUCCCAUCGUAUGGCGCCCACAGUCUGUUUACCCACUCAUCUGUGGGUGGACAGUUGGGUUAUUUCUGAUGUUCUGGCUAUUGCGAACAGAACUUUGUGAAUGCUUUAAAUUUUUAACGAGCUGUGUCACUGGCACAGGUUGAGGUAGACCCACCGUGUGGGCGUGGUCCGUGUGUUUCCUGCCUGGAGCAUCGCGCUGAGUUCAUCCUGGGUGGGUUAUCACUUUUGCCACUGUUGUCAGACAUGUUGUCCCGUUGAAGUGUUUGCUACUGUAAAUCAUGCUGCUGGGAACAGCUUUAUCCUGACACUUCUACGUACGGCUGUGUUGCUUUCCUGAGGUCACACAGCAGUGGGCACUCAGUCUCAGCAUGACUGCUCUUUGUAGACAUCAGGCCCCAGCCUCUCUUCUGAGUUAGAAAGGUCUCUGCCCCUGGGUGUGGCUGGCAGACCCCAAGGCGCACACAUUCGUCUGAAGCUAGCUCACCUAGAGCCCAAGAUGAUUUGUAAUUGCUUGGAGGAUACAAAUGGUCCAGACUCUCCCUCCCCCUGACUCAAUCCUGAGGAGCUUCCUUCCUGGAACCAACCUCAGGGCUCAGGUCCCUGCGGGACUUCCUUC